rnacentral:piRNA from 1 species
GCAUCCUGAUCCACAGGCAGCAGGUUG